UGAUCAGCAUGCCGCGUGGGUGAAGACGGCCUGCGGGUUGUAAAGCCCUUUAGGCGGGGAAGAACGGCCGGGCGCGAAUAGCGCGCGGCUCUGACGUUACCCGCAGAAUAAGCACCGGCUAACUCCGUGCCAGCAGCCGCGGUAAUACGGAGGGUGCGAGCGUUAAUCGGAAUUACUGGGCGUAAAGCGUGCGUAGGCGGUUCGGUCAGUCAGCCGUGAAAGCCCCGGGCUCAACCUGGGAACGGCGGUUGAGACGGCCGGACUAGAGUGGGCUAGAGGAUCGUGGAAUUCCCGGUGUAGCGGUGAAAUGCGUAGAGAUCGGGAGGAACACCGAUGGCGAAGGCAGCGGUCUGGGGCCACACUGACGCUGAGGCACGAAAGCGUGGGGAGCAAACAGGAUUAGAUACCCUGGUAGUCCACGCGGUAAACGAUGAGCACUAGACGUCGGGUGGGUGACCGUCCGGUGUCGCAGCUAACGCGCUAAGUGCUCCGCCUGGGGA
rnacentral:rRNA from 1 species